UACGGGGGGAGCAAGCGUUGUUCGGAUUUACUGGGCGUAAAGGGCGCGUAGGCGGUCAGCACAAGUCAGUUGUGAAAUCUCCGAGCUUAACUCGGAAAGGUCAACUGAUACUGUGCGACUAGAGUGCGGAAGGGGCAACUGGAAUUCUUGGUGUAGCGGUGAAAUGCGUAGAUAUCGAGAGGAACACCAGCGGCGAAGGCGGCUCACUGGGCACCACCUGACGCUGAGGCGCGAAAGCGUGGGGAGCGAACCGG
rnacentral:rRNA from 1 species